rnacentral:rRNA from 1 species
UGGGGAAUAUUGCACAAUGGGCGCAAGCCUGAUGCAGCCAUGCCGCGUGUAUGAAGAAGGCCUUCGGGUUGUAAAGUACUUUCAUCGGGGAGGAAGGGAGUAAAGUUAAUACCUUUGCUCAUUGACGUUACCCGUAGAAGAAGCACCGGCUAACUCCGUGCCAGCAGCCGCGGUAAUACGGAGGGUGCAAGCGUUAAUCGGAAUUACUUGGCGUAAAGCGCACGCAGGCGGUUUAUUAAGUCAGAUGUGAAAUCCCCGGGCUCAACCUGGAAACAUCAUCUGAUACUGGCAAGCUUGAGUAUCGUAGAGGGAGGUAGAAGUACAGGUGUAGCGGUGAAAUGCGUAGAUAUCUGGAGGAAUACCGGGGGCGAAGGCGACCCCCUGGUCGAAAACUGACGCUCAGGUGCGAAAGCGUGGGGAGCAAACAGG